UGCAUGCAUAUAAUUUUUCAUAAACAUGCCAACGGUCACAAGUCUGUGUAUGUGAAAAAACAUAAAGUUACUAAAUGCAUUGGGAAUAAAAUUCACAAUAUUUCUGCCAAAUAUCAAACUACAUGUUUGUGCAUAUUAUUGUAAAGGUCAUUUCUUUACAAAUAGGGUCCUGGGGGAUUAUUAACUAAAGAUGAAGCUUCCUGUUUAUUCACCAGCUCUGGGAUUUCCCAUUUGCCAACACUACAAAUGCAUUGUAUUAUAAAUGAGAACAGCUUGUUGAGGGUAGUAGUUUAAUGUUUUCUGGAAAUAGAUGAAGACAGCAUGUUCUGAUAUAUUUGUAGCAUAAAUUCAGUUAGAAGCUUAGUAAGUAUAGGGAUGCUUUAUUUUUUUUGAACAAGCAUAGAAAUUAUGUUCUUGUGGUGGUAUUAUUGAUAAUUACAAAAUCUUCCUAAAGAAAGUAAUUAUCCAUGCUUUAUAGGAAACUUCCUUUUUGGCAAGCAAUUAGCAUUCAGUUUAGUAUUGAGAUAAACAAUAUUUACAUCAAAUACUAGAAAGUUAUUUGAAUAUGUACCUUAUAAAUUCUGUGCAUUGCCCCACAAAAAGAAAAUAAAAUACUAAUAAUCUUUUAAUAAUCACAAAUCAAUUGGUAAACUCUUCUUAUUACUAUUUAGCUAUCUUAGUAAAUGUCUAGGUAAUAAUCACUUAUCUGAAAAAGGGGGGAGGAUAUAUGUCAACUAUCAUUGAAAAAUAAAUUAGAAAGGGGGAAGGAUAAAAUAAAGUCCACCCAAAUUGCCUGCCAACAUAUUUUGCUUUCACUUAUUUUACAAUCCAGACCUAUACUUUCACUGCUUAAUAGAUAUUUACUAACAUAUUUAAGGAAAACUUGAAUUAUGCUUUAUUCUCUAUUUUCUCAUAGGUAGAUAAUGAUAAUCUAGGUGCUUAGAUGUGAUAUUUAUUAUAGCUUUAGUACAUAUCUUAAAUAAAGCAUGAAUAUGCUAUGGAAUACUUUUAGUAUUUUCUUAAAAAAUUUGGGCUCAGUUUUUUAUGCAAUUAUUGUUUUUUUAUUUUUAUCAAUUUAAAAAAUAGCACAUAAGUUUUCAUACUUGAUAUUUUAUAAAACUGACCUUCGCUUUAUGGUGUGUGGAAGUGCAGGUGUGAAAGGGAUGUGGAUAGGUGUGUAUGCCUGUGUGUGCACGUGUGCAGUUGCAAAUGUCAAUGUAAGAAAUGUAUUGCAACAAAAUAAUGAAAUUUUGGUUAUGUCACCAUAAACCUGAACUUAGUUUUAAAUGGGACAAAGAUUUGAUUUAUCAUAAAUAAUAGCAACAUGUAAUGAAAGUUGUUCAUAUAUAAAGUAUAUAAAGAAAUGUUUGAAAAUAACUGUCAGAAAAAUUACUUCCUUGAACACCCCCAAAUGUUCAGUUUAGAAAGGGUGCAAGAGAGAGAGGGAUUCUAUCUGCACCCAAGUUGGGUGGAGGAGACUGGGUGCAGCCAGCCAAGAUGGUGAGAGGCUCUUGUCUUUUGGGAGAAGUGGUGUGUGCGGAAAGCUGGACAGGGAAAAGACUGAGGGCGUGGUUUGCUUCCACUGACUGCAGCUGGGCAGAAAGAUCGGAAAGGUACACAGCAAGGGCAUUUCUUGGCCCCAGCCCAGCAUAGCUGACAAGCAGAGGCUGCACAGAGUGAAGAAGAGCUCUGAAUUCUCUUUGAUGCUAGGACGGUGGGCUGGGAAUUGGAAAAGUGGGAGAUGAGCACCUGAGAUUAUUCACAGCCAGACAGAUCUUCCCUGGUGGAAGUUGAACCUUCCAGAAGGGAAGGUUGCACCCGGCCCUUACAUCCGGCAGAACGAAAGCACCACCAUCAGGGAAGAUCUACAAAACAGGCAGAUCAGGCUCAAGAAUCCUCUGCGGAGUGCAUUUCCACAAGACAAAGACAGAAAGAGGGACCCCUAAAGGGCCCAUUUUGAACUUUUCUCAGGGAGACAAAGUACGCUGGUCCUUAGGGCCCUAUUUCACUGAGGCCAGCAAAGCAACGAGAUAAGAGAUCAGUUCAUAAAGCAGGAAUCAGGGCUCUCCCAGCCUGGGCUUACACACAAAGCUGCCAUCAACACCAAACAGGAAAGAGCUCAGCCUCUUACACAGAUUGGUCUGUCCCUUGAAAUGAACAGCUAAUAAAGUUGUCUUUGAUUUGUAUGAGUUGUUAAUGUAUUCUGAGUAUAAACCUUGAUAGACAGAUGAUAGAUAAG